rnacentral:rRNA from 1 species
UGGAUAAUCAACCUCUUGCUCUGGAAUACCCCGGGGAAACUCGGAUCAAUGCCAGAUAAAGUGCGGUGCUGUCGGGUGCCGUACCAAAGAUAGCUUCGGCCUUCGGCGAGAGACGAGUCCGCGGCCAUUAGCUAGUUGGCGGGGUAAUGGCCCACCAAGGCUACGAUGGGUAGCUGGUCUGAGAGGAUGAUCAGCCACACUGGGACUGAGACACGGCCCAGAU